AGGACGAUCCCGUAUGCGCAUUGAUCAUUGCACGUGAUCAUUCAGUUCGGCUAUUAAUUUAGCUUGAUUAAAAAGUUCCUUAUUUACAAGUUCUUUAUUUACAAGUACAUACUAGAUAGAUUAUAUACUAGAGUUAUCUUUAUAGUAAAAUAAAAAGUUUUUCCGUCGAUUUCAACAUUUAUCUAAUAUAAUCAAACCAAUAAUUUGCAAGCAACACAAAAAAUGACAGAAAAACCUUCGCAACUAUCACGUUUCUUUAUUCAAGCAUCUUGACGUUUGCAUAAAAAAUUUCGAAAUUAACGUAGCAAUUUGCAAGAUCUAUUUGAGUAUUAAUAUAAUGUCUUAUUAAAAUAAUGGAAUAAAAUAUAAACUUUUUUAUUGCGCUUCUUUAGUUAAUUUUUCUUGUGCUUUGUAAAUUGAAUUAAAUUUUAAAAAUUUAACCGUGAUAUCUCUAAGCUAUAAAGGUAUAGUGACAAUUAUAUUAAAGCCUUUUUUUAAAUAAACCUUGAACCAAAGAGUUCUAUUCUUUUACAAUUGUUUUUUAACUGUUUUGACUAAAACUUAAAUCUUUUAUGAACUCGUAAUUGAUUUAAUAUUCUUUUCGGAAAUUAGGAGAUAUGUUAUGUUGAUGUGAUAUGCAAAGGUGGAAAGUAACAAAUUACAUUUAAUCACGUUAAUGUAAUUAAGCAGUUAUUUUGUGAAUUUCUACUUUUUAAGUA